UAGGGAAUCUUCGGCAAUGGACGGAAGUCUGACCGAGCAACGCCGCGUGAGUGAAGAAGGUUUUCGGAUCGUAAAGCUCUGUUGUUAGAGAAGAACGUUGGUAGGAGUGGAAAAUCUACCAAGUGACGGUAACUAACCAGAAAGGGACGGCUAACUACGUGCCAGCAGCCGCGGUAAUACGUAGGUCCCGAGCGUUGUCCGGAUUUAUUGGGCGUAAAGCGCGCGCAGGCGGUUCUUUAAGUCUGAAGUUAAAGGCAGUGGCUUAACCAUUGUACGCUUUGGAAACUGGAGGACUUGAGUGCAAAAGGGGAGAGUAGAAUUCCAUGUGUAGCGGUGAAAUGCGUAGAUAUAUGGAGGAACACCGGUGGCGAAAGCGGCUCUCUGGUCUGUAACUGACGCUGAGGCUCGAAAGCGUGGGGAGCAAACAGG
rnacentral:rRNA from 1 species